CUCCUUUGUUCAUGCUGUGCCAUCUUCUGGGCCUGAAAAGGUGGGAAUUGCUGCAACUGAUAUGGAUUCAGUAAAGAUUGAUAUUAAUUUUAGAAGUGAAGUUUCUGGCGUAACAAGAAAUUGUAGCUCACUUAGAGAUGAUAAUGUGAUAAGAUCGACUUUAUCACCUAAGAGUCAAGGGUUACAGCAAUCAUACACUGACCAAUGUAGAGAACCUUUGGCUUCACCAGGAACUGAGAAAAUUUAUGUUCCAGGGGAAGAACAGCCUGACUGGAGAAUAGAUUCUCAAAUUCAAUCAGUUAUGAAUUCCAUUUCCGAAGUAGAGGAAGAUAUAAUAUCAUUUGAAAACCAGAGACUCAAGGAUCCGGAAGUUGUGAGUCAUUCUAUGUACCUGCCAAAUUCAGCUAAUUCACUCCAUAUUACAAAUCUUUCUAGGUCUCAUUCUUUGCAACGUAAUGAGCCUUUUGGUGCUGUCAAUCUAAAUGCUGAUCCUCUAUUCAUGGAUAAUAGAGUUGGUGACACCACACUCGUGCGCGCAUCUAGUAAUACUGUAAUAUCAAAUGGAUAUCCUGAGAAAUUGCUCCACAGUUCUACUGGUUUGGAUAGAAACAUGGAGCAUUCCUUCUCUCUUCCAAAUGAGGGGGAAGGGGCGCACAAGGGAAGGAAGAUUUCAGGGUGAUGCUACAGCCUCGGACGUGGGUGAGAACAGCAUAAUUUCAAAUAUAUUAUCACUAGAUCUUGAUGGAUGGGAAGAGCCGCUAACAUCAUCUCAGAAUUUGGCUAAAUUGUUGGUUGAAACUGAGAGACAGUCUAGUUCUCUCAAUUCCUGGAAAGUUCAAAAUAACAGUCAGUCUAGGUUCUCUUUUGCAAGACAGGAGGAAUCAAGAAAUCAAGCAGUUGAUGUUGAUCCAUGUUUUAGUGUUUUUGGGAAGUGGGCAAAGGAUCUCUCGUUUAGUCAGGGUUUUUCAGAAAAAAGAAAUUCAUAUUUGGAUAAGGUUGGGAUGGGUAAUGGUUUCUCUACUGGUAAUUUCGAGGAAUCUGAAAAUUUUACCAAUGGUCUUUCAGUUUUUUCUUCUAACAAGCCAUCUGCAGUUUCGAGAGCCCAAAUUUCUGCCCCUCCUGGAUUCUCUGUUCCUAACAGAGCUCCACCCCCAGGCUUUUCUUCCCAUGAGAGGAUGGAUCAGAUUUUUGAUACUAUAUCUGGUAAUCAUUUGCUCAACUCUUCUUCCAUGCUGAGAAAUUCAUAU
rnacentral:misc_RNA from 1 species